GUCGGGAUGGUUGGACAUUCAGUGUUGCGAAUUCGGUCAGGUUUGGAAAAAAGCAGCCGUAGCAAAUACCUGGUGGGUCAAUUAUCCCUAUGAG
rnacentral:SRP_RNA from 1 species